GACGAACGCUGGCGGCGUGCUUAACACAUGCAAGUCGAACGGAAAGGCCCUGCUUUUGUGGGGUGCUCGAGUGGCGACGGGGUGAGUAACACGUGAGUAACCUGUACUUGACUUUGGGGUAACUUAAGGACACUGGGGCUCAUCCCGGCUAGGAGCUCUCGCUGUUUGGUGGGGGCUGGAUAGUUUAGGCGGUUGGGGAUGGAAUCGCGGCUUAUCAGCUUGUUGGUUGGGUAGUGGCAUACCAAGGCCUUGACGGGUAGCAGGCCUGGGAGGGUGACCGGCCACAUUGGGACGGAGAUACGACCCAGACUACAACGGGAGGCAACGGUGGAGAAGAGUGCACAAUGGGCGGAAGCCUGAUGCAACAACGCCGCGUGCGGGAAGUCGUCCUUCGGGUAGGAAACCGCAGUCGCCUUUGACGAAGCGUUAGUGACGGUAAUGGGUAAAGAAGCACCGGCUAACUACGUG
rnacentral:rRNA from 1 species